rnacentral:tRNA from 1 species
AACCUAUUAGCUCAAAUGGUAGAGCAAUAUGCAGAUGCAUAUGGGAUAUAGGUUCGAUUCCUACAUAGGUGU